CAUGCCUGGCUUAGAGAAAGUGAAUGGGGAAGUGUUAUUUUACCCUUCACGUAACACAAGAAUGAGAGGUCACCCAGUGAAAUUAGUAGACAGCAGGUUUAAAACAAACCUAAGGAUGUACUUCUUCACACAACACACAACCUGUAGAACUUGUUGCCAGAG